AUACAUGCAGUCGAACGCACAGCGAAAGGUGCUUGCACCUUUCAAGUGAGUGGCGAACGGGUGAGUAACACGUGGACAACCUGCCUCAAGGCUGGGGAUAACAUUUGGAAACAGAUGCUAAUACCGAAUAAAACUUAGUGUCGCAUGACACAAAGUUAAAAGGCGCUUCGGCGUCACCUAGAGAUGGAUCCGCGGUGCAUUAGUUAGUUGGUGGGGUAAAGGCCUACCAAGACAAUGAUGCAUAGCCGAGUUGAGAGACUGAUCGGCCACAUUGGGACUGAGACACGGCCCAAACUCCUACGGGAGGCUGCAGUAGGGAAUCUUCCACAAUGGGCGAAAGCCUGAUGGAGCAACGCCGCGUGUGUGAUGAAGGCUUUCGGGUCGUAAAGCACUGUUGUAUGGGAAGAACAGCUAGAAUAGGAAAUGAUUUUAGUUUGACGGUACCAUACCAGAAAGGGACGGCUAAAUACGUGCCAGCAGCCGCGGUAAUACGUAUGUCCCGAGCGUUAUCCGGAUUUAUUGGGCGUAAAGCGAGCGCAGACGGUUUAUUAAGUCUGAUGUGAAAGCCCGGAGCUCAACUCCGGAAUGGCAUUGGAAACUGGUUAACUUGAGUGCAGUACGGGUAAGUGGAACUCCGG
rnacentral:rRNA from 1 species